rnacentral:rRNA from 1 species
AGAGUUUGAUCAUGGCUCAGAUUGAACGCUGGCGGCAGGCUUAACACAUGCAAGUCGAGCGGAGACUUCGGUCUUAGCGGCGAACGGGUGAGUAAUACCUAGGAAUCUGCCCAUUAGCGGGGGACAACGUUUCGAAAGGAACGCUAAUACCGCAUACGCCCUACGGGGGAAAGCAGGGGAUCUUUUGACCUUGCACUAAUGGAUGAGCCUAGGCCGGAUUAGCUAGUUGGUAGGGUAAAGGCCUACCAAGGCGACGAUCCGUAGCUGGUCUGAGAGGAUGAUCAGCCACACUGGAACUGAGACACGGUCCAGACUCCUACGGGAGGCAGCAGUGGGGAAUAUUGGACAAUGGGCGCAAGCCUGAUCCAGCCAUGCCGCGUGUGUGAAGAAGGCCUUCGGGUUGUAAAGCACUUUAAGCGAGGAGGAAAGUUUAUAGGUUAAUACCCUAUAGAAUUGACGUUACUCGCAGAAUAAGCACCGGCUAACUCUGUGCCAGCAGCCGCGGUAAUACAGAGGGUGCAAGCGUUAAUCGGAAUUACUGGGCGUAAAGCGCGCGUAGGCGGUUUGUUAAGUCGGAUGUGAAAUCCCUGGGCUCAACCUAGGCACUGCAUCCGAUACUGGCUAACUAGAGUGUGGGAGAGGAAGGUAGAAUUCCAGGUGUAGCGGUGAAAUGCGUAGAGAUCUGGAGGAAUACCGAUGGCGAAGGCAGCCUUCUGGCCUAACACUGACGCUGAGGUGCGAAAGCAUGGGGAGCAAACAGGAUUAGAUACCCUGGUAGUCCAUGCCGUAAACGAUGUCAACUAGCCGUUGGGGACCUUGAGUCUUUAGUGGCGCAGCUAACGCGAUAAGUUGACCGCCUGGGGAGUACGGCCGCAAGGUUAAAACUCAAAUGAAUUGACGGGGGCCCGCACAAGCGGUGGAGCAUGUGGUUUAAUUCGAUGCAACGCGAAGAACCUUACCUGGCCUUGACAUGUCUG